CCACACACUUACCCAACCCGAGCCCUAGAAACCGCUCAGCCUAACCCUCCCUAAUUCAAACUACCUCUCCCUCUCAACGUAACUCUCUCACCUAACCCGCUGAACACCAGAAUCUAACUCCCCAAAGCAAACAUCAAAGUUGGUUAGAAACUUAGAAUAGCUGUUGACUGCGACCAUGCUCGCUGCGUUGCUCCGCUGCACUUUCUUCUUCUAUCUUCGCUGUUGUUUGCACAAGGUUGGCCUUAGUGGUUCUGCUAAUGGGAGGAGUUCUCCUUGGCUUCUCUGCAUUGAUGAGUUUCCUGAGCUGUUCCACCUUUUACUGAACCACUGUCAUCCCUGAUUACUGCAACCAUCAUCCCUGUUUUGCUGUGCUCUGAGAACGCUGCAUCUGUGUUGAUCUUGAGUUAUUCUUUGGGCAGUGGCCUCCACUUUACUGGUAUGGUUCCUCUA